rnacentral:tRNA from 1 species
AAGGGAGACCUAAUUCCGGUAGGAGACGAAAAAAAAGUAGUCCCAACCAAGAAUCAAUCCCAAAAGGUCGGAGCGAGGCGAAAUUGGCUUUCAAACUAGGUUCUGGGUUCACACAAGACCUGAAUCAGGAACAAGGGCUAUUAGCUCAGGUGGUUAGAGCGCACCCCUGAUAAGGGUGAGGUCCCUGGUUCGAGUCCAGGAUGGCCCACCUGUACAGGUGGAAGAAAGAAAAGAAGCUCCGAAUCAGCACCUUAUCUUACUUAUAUAGUAAGAGAGAAUGCUGGCUCUGAGUUCAGAGUCCAGAGGAGCCUUGAAAACUGCAUAGAGCUAGGUGAAAAAGCCAAAAAAGAAGACCGCCA